rnacentral:rRNA from 1 species
GACAGAGGGUGCAAACGUUGUUCGGAAUUACUGGGCGUAAAGCGUGUGUAGGCGGCCAUGUAAGUCAGGUGUGAAAGCCCCGGGCUCAACCCGGGAAGUGCACUUGAUACUGCGUGGCUUGAGUACUGGAGAGGUUGGUGGAAUUCCUGGUGUAGCGGUGAAAUGCGCAGAUAUCAGGAGGAACACCGGUGGCGAAGGCGGCCUGCUGGGCAGUGGCUGACGCUGAGGCGCGACAGCGUGGGGAGCAAACAGG